rnacentral:rRNA from 1 species
UACAGAGGUCUCAAGCGUUGUUCGGAUUCAUUGGGCGUAAAGAGCGUGUAGGCGGCCAGAUAAGUCCGCUGUGAAAUCUCGAGGCUCAACUUCGAGCUGUCGGUGGAAACUGUCUGGCUAGAGUCCGGAAGAGGAGAAUGGAAUUCCUGGUGUAGCGGUGAAAUGCGCAGAUAUCAGGAAGAACACCGGUGGCGAAGGCGGCUCUCUGGAACGGUACUGACGCUGAGACGCGAAAGCGUGGGGAGCGAACAGG